rnacentral:rRNA from 1 species
UGAGGAAUAUUGCGCAAUGGGGGCAACCCUGACGCAGCAACGCCGCGUGAGUGAGGAAGGUUUUCGGAUCGUAAAGCUCUGUCGAGUGGGAAGAAAUGUAUCAUGGCUACUAUCCAUGAUACUUGACGGUACCGCUAAAGGAAGCACCGGCUAACUCCGUGCCAGCAGCCGCGGUCAUACGGGGGGUGCAAGCGUUGUUCGGAAUUAUUGGGCGUAAAGAGCGUGUAGGCGGCUGAAUAAGUCAGAUGUGAAAUCCCGGGGCUUAACUCAGGAAGUGCAUUUGAAACUAUUCGGCUAGAGUAGGGGAGAGGAAAGUGGAAUUCCUGGUGUAGAGGUGAAAUUCGUAGAUAUCAGGAGGAACACCGGUGGCGAAGGCGACUUUCUGGCCCUAUACUGACGCUGAGACGCGAGAGCGUGGGUAGCAAACA